UACGUAGGGUGCGAGCGUUAAUCGGAAUUACUGGGCGUAAAGCGUGCGCAGGCGGUGAUGUAAGACCGAUGUGAAAUCCCCGGGCUUAACCUGGGAACUGCAUUGGUGACUGCAAGGCUAGAAUCUGGCAGAGGGGGGUAGAAUUCCACGUGUAGCAGUGAAAUGCGUAGAUAUGCGGAGGAACACCGAUGGCGAAGGCAAUCCCCUGGGCCUGCACUGACGCUCAUGCACGAAAGCGUGGGGAGCAAACAGG
rnacentral:rRNA from 1 species